rnacentral:misc_RNA from 1 species
ACAAUUUUGAAGCUUACAUAGGUGAUAAUCUUGUUCAGUUUCCUAAUAUGCCACCUUUUGGUAUUCACAUUAACUUUCUACUGCUUCUGUUGGAGCUACUGUACCAUUUCUAUAUAGCUUGCACAACCUUGUAGAAAUCUGCAAUCCUCAUCUCUCUUCCUCUCUGAUUGGGGGCUUCUUUUUCAUUUAUUUUUUUAAUCUUUUUUUCCAUGUAUCCUCCAUCAUAAACAGCUAUCAGCCAUCAGGCAGGAUCAAAAACUUUGACACUAGAUUGGACGUAGAAUAUACUCCUGGUGCUUGAGUAAGUAGCUUCUGGUUAAGAAAAGAUUAACAAGAUGGAAACACUUUACUAUUUCACAAAAUUAGCGUUCAACAGAGUAGUUCAGCCGUCAAUUUUGCCCUACCAUUGUGUCUUG